GGGGCCAGACUGUGCUUAGCAGGUCCCAUUGCACCCCUGUUCUUGUUCUCACAGAGGGAGACAGUGCAGACGACAGACCCCCACAACUGCCAUUAGGGACAGGGAGGCGUGGACAGGGAAGGGCCCCAAGGGAGAUCCCGGCAGGCUCCCUACAGACGCCACCCAAGGACAUCCCGGGUGCCUGGUGGUCUCUGUCUACAGACUCUCACAUGUGACUCUCCCUCUGGUAACAGGCGUACGAGCGCGGCAUCUCGCUGUUCAAGUGGCCCAACGUGUCCGACAUCUGGAGCACCUACCUGACCAAAUUCAUUGCCCGCUAUGGGGGCCGCAAGCUGGAGCGGGCACGGGACCUGUUUGAACAGGCUCUGGACGGCUGCCCCCCAAAAUAUGCCAAGACCUUGUACCUGCUGUACGCACAGCUGGAGGAGGAGUGGGGCCUGGCCCGGCAUGCCAUGGCCGUGUACGAGCGCGCCACCAGGGCCGUGGAGCCCGCCCAGCAGUACGACAUGUUCAACAUCUACAUCAAGCGGGCGGCCGAGA
rnacentral:sRNA from 1 species